rnacentral:rRNA from 1 species
UACAGAGGUCCCGAGCGUUGUUCGGAUUCACUGGGCGUAAAGGGUGCGCAGGUGGGCUGGUAAGUUCGAUGUGAAAGCCCCGGGCUUAACCCGGGAACGGCAUUGGAUACUACUGGUCUGGAGGAUUGGAGGGGGGACUGGAAUUCUUGGUGUAGCAGUGAAAUGCGUAGAUAUCAAGAGGAACACCAGUGGCGAAGGCGAGUCCCUGGACAAUACCUGACACUGAGGCACGAAAGCCGGGGGAGCAAACAGG